rnacentral:lncRNA from 1 species
UUGUCGUCUUGAUUCUAGUUACAUUGUGUUUACCAUAAUUGUGAUAGAUGCAACCACUAUUCCAUUACAGAAAUUCCAGAAACCGCAAUAUUAGGAUAAUGACAAUUACGGUUGCAGGAUAUAAUUUAAAACAUUGGUCAGAAGAUUAGUGAUGGUGAGGAUCUGGGCCACCAGGGCUGAGUCGAUUGGUCUCAUAAUGUGUUCCCAGCAAUUGCUUCCUUCUUAUGAUUUCCUUCAACACUUGUUUGGAACUCUCCAUAAAUAUUGCAUGGUUUUUAUUAUUGUUUGAGAGUGAGGAAGAAGGAAUAGGACGUGCUUCUUGGCAAAUCAAAAUUGAUGUGAAGAGAAGGAUAAAGCAUAACAUCCUCCAUCUAAUUGCCAUAGGAACUGCUUCAAUUCCAACUUUCAAGUUAUCAAAAUCAA